GGGUUGUGAGGUUAAGCGACUAAGCGUACACGGUGGAUGCCCUGGCAGUCAGAGGCGAUGAAGGACGUGCUAAUCUGCGAAAAGCGUCGGUAAGGUGAUAUGAACCGUUAUAACCGGCGAUGUCCGAAUGGGGAAACCCAGUGCAAUUCGUUGCACUAUCGUUAACUGAAUACAUAGGUUAACGAGGCGAACCGGGGGAACUGAAACAUCUAAGUACCCCGAGGAAAAAAAAUCAACCGAGAUUCCCCCAGUAGCGGCGAGCGAACGGGGAGCAGCCCAGAGUCUGAAUCAGCUUGUGUGUUAGUGGAACGGUCUGGAAAGUCCGACGGUACAGGGUGAUAGUCCCGUACACCAAAAUGCACAGGCUGUGAACUCGAAGAGUAGGGCGGGACACGUGGUAUCCUGUCUGAAUAUGGGGGGACCAUCCUCCAAGGCUAAAUACUCCUGACUGACCGAUAGUGAACCAGUACCGUGAGGGAAAGGCGAAAAGAACCCCGGCGAGGGGAGUGAAAAAGAACCUGAAACCGUGUACGUACAAGCAGUGGGAGCACCUUCGGGUGUGACUGCGUACCUUUUGUAUAAUGGGUCAGCGACUUAUAUUCUGUAGCAAGGUUAACCGUAUAGGGGAGCCGCAGGGGAAACCGAGUCUUAACUGGGCGUUAAGUUGCAGGGUAUAGACCCGAAACCCGGUGAUCUAGCCAUGGGCAGGUUGAAGGUUGGGUAACACUAACUGGAGGACCGAACCGACUAAUGUUGAAAAAUUAGCGGAUGACUUGUGGCUGGGGGUGAAAGGCCAAUCAAACCGGGAGAUAGCUGGUUCUCCCCGAAAGCUAUUUAGGUAGCGCCUCGUGAACUCAUCUUCGGGGGUAGAGCACUGUUUCGGCUAGGGGGUCAUCCCGACUUACCAACCCGAUGCAAACUACGAAUACCGAAGAAUGUUAUCACGGGAGACACACGGCGGGUGCUAACGUCCGUCGUGAAGAGGGAAACAACCCAGACCGCCAGCUAAGGUCCCAAAGUCAUGGUUAAGUGGGAAACGAUGUGGGAAGGCACAGACAGCCAGGAUGUUGGCUUAGAAGCAGCCAUCAUUUAAAGAAAGCGUAAUAGCUCACUGGUCGAGUCGGCCUGCGCGGAAGAUGUAACGGGGCUAAACCAUGCACCGAAGCUGCGGCAGCGACACUAUGUGUUGUUGGGUAGGGGAGCGUUCUGUAAGCCUGCGAAGGUGUGCUGUGAGGCAUGCUGGAGGUAUCAGAAGUGCGAAUGCUGACAUAAGUAACGAUAAAGCGGGUGAAAAGCCCGCUCGCCGGAAGACCAAGGGUUCCUGUCCAACGUUAAUCGGGGCAGGGUGAGUCGACCCCCUAAGGCGAGGCCGAAAGGCGUAGUCGAUGGGAAACAGGUUAAUAUUCCUGUACUUGGUGUUACUGCGAAGGGGGGACGGAGAAGGCUAUGUUAGCCGGGCGACGGUUGUCCCGGUUUAAGCAUGUAGGCUGGUUAUCCAGGCAAAUCCGGAUAAUCAAGGCUGAGGUGUGAUGACGAGGCACUACGGUGCUGAAGUAACAAAUGCCCUGCUUCCAGGAAAAGCCUCUAAGCAUCAGGUAACAUCAAAUCGUACCCCAAACCGACACAGGUGGUCAGGUAGAGAAUACCAAGGCGCUUGAGAGAACUCGGGUGAAGGAACUAGGCAAAAUGGUGCCGUAACUUCGGGAGAAGGCACGCUGGUGUGUAGGUGAAGUCCCUGCGGAUGGAGCUGAGACCAGUCGAAGAUACCAGCUGGCUGCAACUGUUUAUUAAAAACACAGCACUGUGCAAACACGAAAGUGGACGUAUACGGUGUGACGCCUGCCCGGUGCCGGAAGGUUAAUUGAUGGGGUUAUCCGUAAGGAGAAGCUCUUGAUCGAAGCCCCGGUAAACGGCGGCCGUAACUAUAACGGUCCUAAGGUAGCGAAAUUCCUUGUCGGGUAAGUUCCGACCUGCACGAAUGGCGUAAUGAUGGCCAGGCUGUCUCCACCCGAGACUCAGUGAAAUUGAACUCGCUGUGAAGAUGCAGUGUACCCGCGGCAAGACGGAAAGACCCCGUGAACCUUUACUAUAGCUUGACACUGAACAUUGAGCCUUGAUGUGUAGGAUAGGUGGGAGGCUUUGAAGCGUGGACGCCAGUCUGCGUGGAGCCAACCUUGAAAUACCACCCUUUAAUGUUUGAUGUUCUAACGUUGGCCCUUACCGGGGUUGCGGACAGUGUCUGGUGGGUAGUUUGACUGGGGCGGUCUCCUCCCAAAGCGUAACGGAGGAGCACGAAGGUUAGCUAAUCCUGGUCGGACAUCAGGAGGUUAGUGCAAUGGCAUAAGCUAGCUUGACUGCGAGCGUGACGGCGCGAGCAGGUGCGAAAGCAGGUCAUAGUGAUCCGGUGGUUCUGAAUGGAAGGGCCAUCGCUCAACGGAUAAAAGGUACUCCGGGGAUAACAGGCUGAUACCGCCCAAGAGUUCAUAUCGACGGCGGUGUUUGGCACCUCGAUGUCGGCUCAUCACAUCCUGGGGCUGAAGUAGGUCCCAAGGGUAUGGCUGUUCGCCAUUUAAAGUGGUACGCGAGCUGGGUUUAGAACGUCGUGAGACAGUUCGGUCCCUAUCUGCCGUGGGCGCUGGAGAAUUGAGGGGGGCUGCUCCUAGUACGAGAGGACCGGAGUGGACGCAUCACUGGUGUUCGGGUUGUCAUGCCAAUGGCACUGCCCGGUAGCUAAAUGCGGAAGAGAUAAGUGCUGAAAGCAUCUAAGCACGAAACUUGCCCCGAGAUGAGUUCUCCCUGAGACUUUAAGUCUCCUGAAGGAACGUUGAAGACGACGACGUUGAUAGGCCGGGUGUGUAAGCGCAGCGAUGCGUUGAGCUAACCGGUACUAAUGAACCGUGAGGCUUAACCUUACAACGCCGAAG
rnacentral:rRNA from 1 species